rnacentral:lncRNA from 1 species
GGAUACAAAAGUUUUUAAUAUAAGUUUUGAACAUUCUUUAAAUUUUAUUAUUUUAAAAUUUUAUUUUUUUUCAGCUAUAUAUUAUUUGAUAUUUGAUAUCUCAUCUGUUUCUAUUUUUUUCUUAUAAAUACGUUUAAAUUUUUUUCGGAAUUCAAGAAAUAUGGGAGUGUAACUAAAUCUAAUAAUGAUAAAUUUAAAUUAGAUCUU